GAUGAACGCUGGCGGCGUGCCUAAUACAUGCAAGUCGAGCGAACAGACGAGGAGCUUGCUCCUCUGACGUUAGCGGCGGACGGGUGAGUAACACGUGGAUAACCUACCUAUAAGACUGGGAUAACUUCGGGAAACCGGAGCUAAUACCGGAUAAUAUAUUGAACCGCAUGGUUCAAUAGUGAAAGACGGUUUUGCUGUCACUUAUAGAUGGAUCCGCGCCGCUUUAGCUAGUUGGUAAGGUAACGGCUUACCAAGGCGACGAUGCGUAGCCGACCUGAGAGGGUGAUCGGCCACACUGGACCUGAGACACGGUCCAGACUCCUACGGGAGGCAGCAGUAGGGAAUCUUCCGCAAUGGGCGAAAGCCUGACGGAGCAACGCCGCGUGAGUGAUGAAGGUCUUCGGCUCGUAAAACUCUGUUAUUAGGGAAGAACAAAUGUGUAAGUAACUAUGCACGUCUUGACGGUACCUAAUCAGAAAGCCACGGCUAACUACGU
rnacentral:rRNA from 1 species